rnacentral:rRNA from 1 species
UGUAGGCUGCAACUCGCCUACAUGAAGUCGGAGUUGCUAGUAAUCGCGGAUCAGAAUGCCGCGGUGAGUGCGUUCCCGGGUCUUGUACACACCGCCCGUCACACCAUGGAAGUUGGGGGCGCCCGAAGUUGCCUAAGAAAUAAGGUACCUAAGGCGAAACCAAUGACUGGGGUGAAGUCGUAACAAGGUAAC